UACGAAGGGGGCUAGCGUUGUUCGGAAUUACUGGGCGUAAAGCGCGCGCAGGCGGUUCUUUAAGUCCGGGGGGAAAGCCCAGAGCUCAACUCUGGAAUUGCCUUUGAAACUAGAGAACUUGGGUACGGGAGAGGUGAGUGGAAUUCCGAGUGUAGAGGUGAAAUUCGUAGAUAUUCGGAAGAACACCAGUGGCGAAGGCGGCUCACUGGCCCGUUACCGACGCUCAGGCGCGACAGCGUGGGGAGCAAACAGG
rnacentral:rRNA from 1 species